AACCCGGGGCGGCUCCUUCCGAAGGCUCCACUCCAGCGGCUCGCUGCGGGAGACCAAGGCCAGCCGCCGUCCCAGGGGACGGCCCUCGGGGAACCUGAAUGACGUGCGAGGCCGUACCUCGGGGCGCUGGACUCCGCUCGGGCGCUCCCGCUCUCCGCUCCCGCUCUCGGGUCCCAAUCCCGACGCUCCGCGCGCUCCCGGACUAAGUGCGGACGCGCCCCACGCCCCCCGGCGCCAGCCCGGGACAGCGCUGCACCUGUUGCCACGUGCGACGCGGCGCUCAGCGGCUGCCACUGCCGCCGGCGCACCUGGCUGCACCGCGCGUCCCGGGACCACGCUCGUCCCCGCAGGAGCCCGGGGCUCCGCCGCACCCAGCGCUAGGGCCCAGGCCGGGCCGCGGUAGGUGGGGGAUCUGACUCCUGCUUGCCUCUGGCCACCUGCAGGCCGAGGGGCCUCGCACCGCGGGGCGUAUAGAAGGUGGGAAGGUUGCAGAAUUAUCAGGGCGGAAGCUUGCAAGGAAGGAGUCGUGAUUGUCUCUUAGAAGGGCUGAUUCGCAGUCUGUAUUAUCUUCAUGCUUCUAGCAAGUUUACUAGCAAGUGUGUAUUAAAGGUUAAAGAAAGUAGCUUUCCAGCUAUUAGAGCUUGAGAUACAACGUGGAAAGGAGUCUAGAACCCCAGGGAGAUAAACUAGGCUCGACCUACUUUUCUCUAAACACAAACACAGUCCUUGCUGUUUGCUAAACUGAGCAAAUUUCAUCGACAGCUGUCUUCUAGGUCCGUAAAAUAUUUUCUUCUAUAAAGCAUAUUUUUAAUAGAAAACUUGUCCGAAGAUGCUAUUCUGCCUGUGAGAGAUGUCACAUUGCUGAACCGUGAAAUGUCAGACAACCUGAGAACAAAAUUUUAAUAUUUCCUUUUUAAUUACCUGGAUUGUGGUUUGCUAAAAGCUUUUAAAGAGAAGUGAACUUUUUUGGAGAAUAGACGUAAGGACUCUGUAUUUCACAGUUUUCUAUACCAUGAAUAUUAGAAUAACUGACAGAUGUCUUGCCAUUGAUAGUUGUAAAGACUUUUCAUAUGUACAAUGAUCCAUUAUUUCCUGACUACAAAACCCAGGGGUAUAUAGGUCAGAUUAUCUCCAUUAUUCAAAUGAGGAAUUGAAGCUCAGAAAGGUCAAGUGACUAGCGCAAGGUCACACAGCCAGUGAGGGCAAGUGCAAACCCAGCCAGCCUAACUCCUAAUCUUCUCUUUUAAUUCCAUUACAUAAUGACACCUCUCAUUUGCUUCAGAAAUCCCUGUUGUAAAGAUAGAUGCAACUAGCAUGAUCCGUGUUGUUAGGAAAGGCAUGUGAUUAAUUUUAAAUAGAUAUAGUAUUUAACACCACCAGAUGAGUCUCCCUCUGAAAAAGCACACAAAAACAAAACAAAACGCUGACAUAGUUUCCGCAAGUCACGAGGCAAUUAUGCUAAUUAGCAACAAGCCUCCAUCCCUAAGCAGAAUAGUUCUUGUGUGAAACAUAUCAUUUAAUCUUUAUAACCCUGAUGUGACCUAGAUGAUUUGGUCUAAACCCCACAAUCCUAUUGUGUGGCUUAGUUAUAUCUAUAAAUAUAGAACCUGUUUUACUUCAUUUUUGUGUCAGGUGGUUUGAAGGGGGGAAACAUACAAUGCUCUGCUAAGUAAUUAGAGCUACUUACGCAGGCAUUGGGGAAUCUGAAACUUAGCUUCUAAUUGUCUCCACAUAAAAACAGAAGUUAACUUCUAGGGACAUCUUCAGGGACUCCUCAAGGCAAAUAUUCAUGAAAUGGGGCCUAUUGGCUUUUCUUUUCAUCUUGGUUCUGGGCAUGUUGCCAUGUUCCUGAUCUCUGAACUCUGAUGCUGACCUGCUACAGACUCCAGGAGCAAUAUUAAGGAUAAAAUAAUAACUCACAUAACUUUGUGGCUCUUUAUUCUAAAAAAAAAAAAAAAAGUUGGCUCAAUUUUUUUUCCUCCAUAAGAAAAUGCAAAUUGCAACUGUAUUGAGAAACCAUUUUUUCACUUAUCAGAUUGUCAAAGAUUAGAAAGUUUGAUAAUCACAGUGUUGGUAAAAGUGUAGACUAGCAGUCACAAUGAAAAUGUAAAUGUAAAUUAUAAUGACCUCCCUAGGGGGAAGGUCAGGAUACCUAACAAUAUUGCAACUAUACGUAUAAGAGUUUAUCUUGGCCCUGCGUGGUGGCACGGUGACUCAUGCCUGCAAUCCCAGCACUUGGGGAGGCCGAGGCGGGCAGAUCACCUGAGGUCAGGAGUUGGAGACCAGCCUGGCCAACAUGGUGAAACCCUGUCUCAACUAAAAAUACAAAAAUUAGCCAGACAUGAUAGCAGGCGCCUGUAAUCCCAGCUACUUGGGAGGCUGAGGCAGGAGAAUCCCUUGAACCUGGAAAGCGAAGUUUGCAGUGAGCCGAGAUUGUGACACUGCACUCCAGCCUGGGCAACGCACCGCGACUCUGUCUCAAAAAAAAAAAAAGAGUUUAUCUUACAACACACAGGAGAAAUGGUAUGUAUCUACAACCUUGUUUAUUUCAGCAUUGUUUAUAAUAAGAUAUAUUUCAAAUACAAAUAUUCUUUAGUAAAGGACUGAUAAAUCAUGAUAUAGGCAUAAAAUGAAAUCUUAUGAAAGCUUUUAAAAAGACUGAGAAAGCUCUUUGUACUUUUAUGAGAUGAUCUUCAAUCUAUGUCAUGUGCAUUUUUUAACACAAAACAAUUACCUAAUAGUAUGCUACAAUUUCUACUAAAAGGGAGGAAAUGAUACAAACUUGUAUAGAUACAUAUAUAGAUAUGUUUGUAUAAGCAUAAACUAAGCAUAAGCCACCAGGCAUGGUGGCUUGCACCUUUAAUCCCAGCUAUUUGGGAAGUCUAAGGGGGAGGAUAAUUUGAACCCAAGAGUUUGAGACCUGCCAGGGCAACUUAGACCCUGUCUCUAUAAAAAAUACAAAAAUUAGCUGCGCAUGGUGGCAUGCGCUUAUAGUCCCAGCUACUCUGGAGGCUGAGGUGGGAGGAUGGCUUGAGUCCAAGAGGUUGAGGCCAUCGUGAGCCAUGAUUGUGCCACUGCAUUGCAAGCUGGUGACAGAGCAAGACCCUGUGUCAAAAGAAAACAAAACAAAAACCCAUAAAAUAUCUGGAGAGAUAUACCAGAAGCAGAUAACAUUGGUUGUGUCUUGAGAUGGGAGUUGGAUAGUUAAAUGGCAGCAUUAGAAGAGAAAUUUGUUACUAAAUACAAUUUUGUACUUUUUUUGGAUUUUGAGCCAUAUAAAUAACAGAACCCAUUCUAAUAUUUUAAAAUGUUUUACCGCAUGAAGUUUUGCCAUCAGGAAUGACCAAAGUUUCUCUGUGAACGAAUUUCACUUAUAGAUAAAAUAAAUGAUUGGUCAGGCAUGGUGCCGUGGUAGGUGUAUCACCUGAGGUUCGGAGUUCGACAGCAGCUUGACCAACUUGGAGAAACCCCGUCUCUGCUAAAAAUACAAAAAUUAGCGGGGGCAUGGUGGUGCAUGCCUGUAAUCCCAGCUACUAGGGAGGCUGAGGCGGGAGAAUCGCUUGAACCUGGGAGGCGGAGGUUGCGGUAAGCAGAGACCUCGCCAUUGCACUCCAGCCUGGGCAACAAGAGCGAAACUCCAUCUCAAAAAAAAAAAAAAAUGUUCAAUAGAUGCUUCUGACCCUAUUUCUUCUCUAGUUUAUCUAAAAAAGACAACUUUGGUACAUAAAACUCUAACACAAGUGUGGUGAAAACGAUGAAUUAGCAAAUUGUAAAUUCCUUGCAAUUUGAUUAGCAGUGACAUCUCCCUUGGGUAGGGCUUCCAGAUAACUUUACCAAAGUUGCAUUCAAUCAGAAAUGAAAAAAGUAUUCCAGGCCUUAAUUCUCAAGGGGAACUCCAUGGAGUCAUUGCCUUUGUUCCCAAUCCGGGUCCCUUUUUUUUUAUUUAUGUUUCCUUAUGGCACCAUCUCACUGAGAAGGGAGUUGAACAUCUUUAAAAGACAGAAACAGUACAUUUUAAAAAUAAAUAUUUCAAAGUGUAAGUAUUUUUAGUAUAAAAUGGUAUUCCCGGAAAAGCAUACAGGUAAUAGUAAACAUACUAUUGAGCAACGAAUUAAAACACUGAGCUUCCUGAGACCCAGGUACGCCAACCGCUUACAUAAUUGUCAUUUUCAAAAGAGGCUGAAAGUUUCUCAAAGGAAGAAAAACUUUUCCUAGCACUGAAUUUUAAGAAAAAUUUUUGUCACUCAUUUUCAAUUCAAGACUACAAAAUGGAAAAUGACAAUAUACUAUUAAAAUACCAUAAGGAACUUCAUGUGGCUAUUUUUCAUAGUGACUGUGAAUAAAACUAGAAGUUUUUUUCUUCUUUUUUUUUAAUAGAGACGGGGUCUCGCUAUGUUGCCCAUCCUGGGCUCAAGCAAUUCUCCAGACUUGGCCUCCCAAAGUGCUGGGAUUACAGGCGUGAGCCACUGUGCCUGGCCAAAAAAACAAAAGUAUUGUAAUAAAACUCAACUUGAGGAAGUUACUCACCCAGACAGGGACCGGUCUUAUAACAGCAUAAUGAGAUCAAGGAUUGGCUGUAAAUAGAAGUGUGGAAAGACGGCAGCUUCUUCAGAUAUACUUCUGAAAGUCAAAUAUGCUCAUGGUAAAACGUGAACAUCUCCACAAAUCCCUUACCACAGAGGUAAACACAGUUGCUUUAUACAACAUUCCAGAAAUUUUCUAGUGAGCACUCAUUAGACAGGUGCUGAAGCAUUGUCAGAAGUUGCGGUAAUCUCUGGCAAAGUCCCAGAAUGCUGGAAUUUUGUGAUACUGUCGAUGACCUUUUCUUUGUUUUUGUGAAGAGAAUGUGUAUAUUACACAUAGUCAUAUGAUUUUUUUUUUUUUUUGAGACAGAGUUUCGCUCUUGUUGCCCAGACUGGAGGGCAAUGGCGUGAUCUCGGCUCACCACAACCUCUACCUCCUAGGUUCAAGCAAUUCUCCUGCCUCAGCCUCCCAAAUAACUGGGACUACAGGCAUGCACCACCAUGCCCAGCUAUUUUGUAUUUUUAGUAGAGAUAGAGUUUCUCCAUGUUGGUCAGGCUGGUCUCAAACUCCCACCCUCAGGUAAUCUACCCGCCUUGGCCUCCCAAAGUGCUGGGAUUACAGGCGUGAGCCGCCGUGCCCGGCCUAUGACUUUUAAUUCUUGUGUCCAAAGAUGGUGAGACAUGUGUGGUAAGAUACCCAAACUGACCAGCUGUAGCAAUGGCUGCAUAACAAGAAAGAGAGAACGUGAGAGCAGUAAAUGGCCCUGAUUUAUUUACCAAUAACUCCCAGGUUCUUGAUUAUCUAUUUUUUUUCUCAGUGGACUUGAAGACCCAACUGGACUCUCCUCUUUUUUCUUUUCUUUUCUUUUCUUUCUUUUUUUUUUUUUUUUUUUUUGAGAUGGUGUCUAGCUCUGUCACCCAGGCCAGAGUGCAGUGGCACGAUCUCGGCUCACUGCAACCUCUCCCAUCCAGGUUCAAGCGAUUCUUCUACCUCAGCCUCCCAAGUAGCUGGGAUUACAGGCGCCUGCCACCACACCCAGCUAAUUUUUGUAUUUUUAGUAGAGACAGGGUUUCACUGUGUUGGCCAGGCUGGUCUCGAACUCCUGACCUCAUGAUGCACCUGCCUCAGCCUCCUAAAGUGCUGAGAUUCCAAGUGUGAGCCACCACGCCUGGCCUUCUUUUUUAUUUUCUUAUUUUUGAGAAAGGAUCUCACUCUGUCAACCAAGCUGGAGUGCAGAGGUGCCAUGAUGGCUCAACCGCAGCCUCGACCUCCUGGGCUCAGUUGAUCUUCCCAAGUAGCAGGGAAUGGAGUCAUGUGCCACCAUGCCCAGCUACUUUUUGUAUUUUUUUUAUAGAGAUGGGAUUUCACCAUGUUGCUCAGGCUGGUGGCCAACUUCUUAGCUCAAGUUAUCUGCCCACCUCGGCCUUCCAAAGUGCUGGGAUUACAGGCAUGAGCCACUGCACCUGGCCCUGGACUGUCUUCUUAAUGCCCCAGAAGGUGACUAGCAGAAUAGAAAUGUUCUUAUGCCGGCUGGGCACAGUGGCUCACACCUUGUCAUCCCAGCACUUUGGGAGGCUGAGGCAGGCGGAUCAUGAAGUCAGGAGAUCAAGACCAUCCUGGCUAACAUGGUGAAACCCCAUUUCUACUAAAAAUCCAAAAAAUUAGCUGGGCAUGGUGGAGGGCACCUGUAGUCCCAGCUACUAGGGAGGCUGAGGGAGGAGAAUGGCGUGAACCUGGGAGGCGGAGCUUGCAGUGAGCUGAGAUCGUGCCACUGCACUCCAGCCUGGGCGACAGAGCGAGACUCCAUCUCAAAAAAAAAAAAAAAAAAAAGGUCCUUAUGGCAAAGUCUGAAGAUUUUUAAGUAUCUCAAGAAAGGAGUUUUUUGUUGCAAGUUCAAAGCAGUAGAAAAAAUGAAGAAAUAUAGCUUCCUCUUAUCAAAAUGACCUGCAGAAGUUUGAAAAACUCUUCCAUCUCCCCAUCCCAUGGAAGGCAUCUUCAACAGUCCUGUUCCAUUUAUAGACUCUGUAGAAGGAACAGUUCUUAUAACAUGAUGCCAAAAUUAUUCUAGUUCACACACAAACAAGUUGUCCUGUAAUUCUGCUGUGGGCCUCCUCAUAUUAGGAAGAAAUUAAGAAAAAUAUAGUACCACCAGUUUGUUAUGCAACCACUUCGAAAAUGUUUACUUUGCUUAAAAUGUCAUGGCUAAAGAAACUACUCGUCUGCAUAAUCCACUCUUGACAGUGAUUCAUAACUGUGUGACAUUUGGGCUUGGUCAGGCUUUACUCCAGUCAGAUUGAGUCUUUCCUUAAAAAGGGGAUAUAUUUUCAAUUUCAGAGUAUUUACUGCUUCAUGACAAAUAUUAAUAACAAGUCUGUGGCUUCGAGGCCUCAUACCUUUGAGACUACCACAGUCUACUUAGCAUUUUUUUUUUUUUUUACUUAGACCUUUUGAAUUUGCUUUUAAUUUAUACCCCUGGCCUUGUUCUCUUGACCAAAUAAAAGCCCUAAGAGAGCUUCCACUGCCAGCAGCCUUCCAAUUUGCUCUGUUCCCCCUUGGGCCCUGUUGAUUGGGCCCAGUGAUCACCUAAAAAGAGUGCAAAGAGUCAGGAAGGCUUGUGGGUUCAGUCUUUCUGUGCUAACACCAGGCCACAUCCAGGCCUGAUGUACUAACUGAUCUCCAGUUCAUUCCUUUUGCAAUUUUUGGCCUUGAUUCAUAGUUCCUGAUUCUUGAUUGGCUCUGAAAUCCUCCCCAUUUUCAAAAGGGAUGCAGUCAAGCAGGCCAAAGCGCUCCAUGUUAGCUAACAAAUGUUUGCAAAUCAUAAUAAUGUAGGAAGAGAACCAUAAACUAAAUGAACAACAGGCAUUAGCCCUCAUGCUGUCACAUAAGCAUUCCUCAAAAUAUAAUCAUGCUUCUAAACAUGGGCUGGCAAUUCAGGAAAGGGCCACUGAAAAUAUUAGCCUCGUUCUUUUCUCUGUAGAGUGAGCACAGACUAUUCCUAAACCACAUUGCAGUAUGCCAACAUUGUAAAUUAAUGCCUGAUUGGUUACCUAGAAGUAAGACAAUCUUACUUUUAGGCAUCUAGAACACUGAGAAAUCCAGGAUGGACACUUAACACUACCAAAGAUUGAUCUAUUUUGGGUAAGUAUACUUCUGAUCUCUUUUUGAGGACUGUAUUAGUCCAUUUUCACACUGCUAUAAAGAACUGCCUGAGGCUGGGUAAAUUAUAAAGGAAAGAGGUUUCAUUGACUCAGAGUUCUGCAUGGCUGGGGAGGCCUCAGGAAACUUAACAGUUAUGGCAGAAGGCAAGGGAGAAGCAGGUACCUUCUUUACAAGGCGGCAGAAGAGACAGAGAGGGCAGGGGAAACUGCCAUUUUUAAGCUAUCAGAUCUUGUCAGAACUCCGUCACUAUCACGAGAAGAGCAUGAGGGAAACUGCCCCCAUGACCCAAUCACCUCCCACCAUCCCCCGCUCAACACGUGGGGAUGACAAUUCAAGAUGGAAUUGUGUGGGGACACAGAGCCAAACCAUAUCAAGUACCUACAAAAUUAUGGUGACUCUUCACUAAUUUGCAAACUGAUUAUCUGCAAAUCUUAAAUAGGGAAUAAAACACAAAAAUAUCAUUAUCCCUCCAGAACUGAGGACGCAAAUUGGAUUUAGAAGACUUAGCUUUGACACCUAGAUAUGUUUUCAUUGAUUUGACCUAACUUGAUCUCAGUUUCUCUUUUAUAGAGUUAGUUCUUUAGAUCAGAGGUCCCCAACCCCAGGACUGCGGACUGCCACUGGUCUUUGGCCUGUCAGGCACCCGGCCACACAGCUGGAGGUGAGUGGCAUCAAGCAAGCAUUACCACCUGAGCUCCAACUCUAGUCAGAUCAAUGGUGGCAUUACAUUCUCAUAGGAGUGUGAACCCUAUUGUGAACUGCACAUACAAGGGAUCUAGGUAACAUGCUCCUUAUGAAAAUCUAACUAAUGCCUGAUGAUCUGAGCUGAAACAGUUUAGGCCAAAACCAUCCCUCCUGCACCCCAUUUUGUCUUCCAAGACAAAAGAUUAUUCAAGGUUGCUAUGAACACCUUUAUGUGGACAAACUAGAAAACCUAGAGGAGAUGGAUAAAUUCCUGGAAAUAUACAACCCUCCUAUAUUAAACCAGAAAUAAAAAUAAAUCAGAAACUGAGCAGAACAAUAACAAGUAGUGAGGCUGAAACAGUAAUAAGAAAAAUUGCCAAGAAAAAAUAAUCGAGGACCAGAUGGAUUCACAGCUGAAUUCUAUCAGACAUUCAAAGAAGAACUGGUACCAAUGCUAUUGAAACUAUUCCAAAAGAUAGAAUAAAACCAGUAUUACCCUAAUACCAAACCCAGGAAAGGACAUAACAAAAAAAGAAGACUACAGACCAAUAUCCCUGAUGAAGAUAGAUGCAAAAAUCCUCAACAAAAGGAUUCUCAACAAAAUACUAGCUAACCAAAUACAAUAGCAUAUCAAAAAGAUAAUACACCAUGAUCAAGUUGGUUUCAUACCAGGAACGCAGGGAUGGUUUAACACAUACAGGUCAAUAAAUGUGAUAUACACCACAUAUGGUUGUCUUAUGAAAGUUUUUGUCAAGUAGAUGCCUCAGGAAGUGCUCAUGGAAACAAUAUUCCCUGAAUUUUUGCACAGUGAUUACAUUUCGUAUGCUGCCUUUAUCUUGGAAAGCUACUGACUCACAUUUUCUUUCAUUGAAUAUCUUAAAUAUGUUACUCCAUUUUUCUUCUACCUAAAUCAUUGCUGUUAAAAAAAAUUUGAUGGCAAAUCUGAUUUUUUUUUCCUUUAUAAGUGGAUUUUUUUUGCCUAGAAGCCCAAAAUAAUUUUUUCCCCUUUAAAAUGUGUAAUUUUGGUGGGAUGAUCACUUGAGCUCAGGAGGUCAAGGCUACAGUGAGCUGUGAUCACACCACUGCACUUCAGGCUGGGGGUCAGAGAGAGACACUGUCUUGAAAAAUAUAUUUUUUUAGCUACUAAUUUCAUUAUAAUAAGUUAUGGUGUUACUAGUCCUGGGUCAGUUUUUCCAGGUAUGUAGUAUAACCUUUCACUACGUAGCUUCAAAUACAUAUAUUGUUAAUUUGAAGAAAAUGUUCUUCAUUAUAGUUUUUUGGUAGUCCUUCUGUGCCUUGCUUUGGUUUUUCUUCUUGAGAAACUCUUGUUAAACAUAUUUUUGUAUAUCUUUUUUGCCUGUCUCUAAGUUUGUUUCUUUCUCUCAAGCCCUUUUUAUUACUUUCCUUCAAUUAAAAAAAAUUUUUUCUCUUUCAUCUUCUCUUCUUAAGGUAUUCUCUGUGUUUAUUUAUUCUUCCAUUACUUUCAGUUUAGUUUUUUUUUUUUUUUUUUUUAAGAGAUGGGGUCUCACUUGUUGCUUAGGCUGGUCUUGAACUAUUGGGUUCUUGAACUACUGGGUUCAAAGGAUCCUCCCGCCUCAGCCUCUCAAAGUGCUGGGGUUACAGGCAUGAGCCACUGCACCCAGCCUAGUCUCUGUUUUUGACUAGUGUUUCUACGUCUUUUUCCUUGGCCUAGUGUCUGUUUUUGACUAUUGUUUCUACGUCUUUUUCCUUGGCCUAGUCUCUGUUUUUGACUAUUGUUUCUACAUCUUUUUCCUAAGUAUAUCUAUCACCUCAUUUCUGAUAUUUCCCAAUUCUCAUUUUUCUUGUUUUUUCCAUAUCUUGGAUGAUUUCUUUAAUGUCUUCUAGCACACAUUGAAAUAAUAAGUCAUGGUUUGCAUCUGCUCUGUAGGUAUGUCUUUUUAGCAUCUUUGGCAUUGUCUGUAGGGAUGUUUUUCAGUUUCUUCUCUUUUUUUCCUGACAGUAAUUUUGUAUGAGAUUUAAUCUUGGUAUUUUUUUGCUCAUUUAAAAAAAUAUGAAAUAAUUUUCUUAAACUUUCAGGAGGAGGUAGGAUUUGGGAAAGCAUUUCCAAUUUCACAACCUGAUCGCUCUCUUUUUUUGUUGUAUUUGUGUGGUGGUUAAAACUAUCGGGGCUUACUUUUUUUUUUUUUUUUUUUUUGUUUGACAGAUCUCGCUCUGUCGCCCAGGCUGGAAUGCAGUGGCGUGAUCUCGGCUCACUGCAAGCUCUGCCUCCCAGGUUCACGCCAUUCUGCCUCAGCCUCCUGAGUAGCUGGGACUACAGGUGCCCACCACCACGCCCGGCUAAUUUUUUGCGCCCACUACCACGCCCGGCUAAUUUUUUGUAUUUUUAGUGGAAACGGGGUUUCACCUGUGUUAGCCAGGAUGGUCUCGAUCUCCUGACCUUGUGAUCCGCCCGCCUCAGCCUCCCAAAGUGCUGGGAUUACAGGCGUGAGCCACCACGCCCGGCAAUCGCGGCUUAUUUUCUGAGAUGGUCAGACUCUGUUUUCUUUCCUUGCUUUCAUCUGGACCCCGUCUUUCCUUGAUCUCUAUCGUCCCAGUUCCGUACAAUGAGCAUUCUUUUCCAAGAAGUUUCUUCUCUGUGCAGUGCUUGUCCAGGAGUGGAAAUUUGGGUGGUUAGUUUGGAACAUUCAUUGUGCCCGUCAGACACUUUGCAUUCCCCUGACUUUGGAGUGUGCAAAACUUUUUCCAGUUUCAGCUGCUGUUCCCAAGUGGAACCUCCAAGCUUUCCAGCAAUUGCCUGCUUGCUAUUUUGAGAUUAUCAGAUUUAUCAGAGUCUCAUGAAUUCCCUCCACUUUCUAUUAUACAGUUGCUGAUACCACCUAGCCCUUGUAUCUGUCUAUGGCUUUCCUCAAUUCCUUAUGUUCUAGGGUUCGUGGAGACACUUCAUCACCUAAUUUUGUUAUAGAUGUUGUCCACGGGUUUUUUAUUUUAUCUUUUGUCCUUUGUCUAUAUUUGUGGCAGAAUUUUAAGGUUAAAAAAUGAUGACCCCCGGAUACAGGUGACCAUUGUAAGGGUACAAGGAAAAUAUCCCCUUUGUCCUCUGAAGAUUUGCUUAAAAAUCAACUCAUAAAAGUCAGAUUAAUUGGAGUAAAUGUAUAUAAAUUUUAUUAACGUGUACAUGAGAGCCUUUAGAAUAAAGACCCAAAGAUAUAGAGAAAAUUAUCUUUUUUUGUUUGUUUUUGUUUGAGACAGGGUCUUUCUGUCACCCAGGCUGGAGUGCAGUGGUGCAAUCACAACUCACUGCAGCCUCGACCUCCUGGACUCAAGGGGUUUUCCCACCUCAGCCUCCCAAGUAGCUGGGACCACAGGAAUGAACAACCUACUAAUUAUUUUAUUUUUAGUAGAGACAGGGUCUAGCUAUGUUGCCC
rnacentral:lncRNA from 1 species